AAGGACGAGAGUCCAUCACUUGUUCCCGCGUACAUUGUCUUGUCUGACAAUGCGUUCAGGUAUUAGACAUGUCAGGGAUACGAAAACUGUUUCCUGUCUUGAAAUUUAUUGGGAACUCGGCUGUCGUGCUUCAAGUCUCCACGCCACCACCGACCCCUCGAGUCUACGCAGCCCAGUGGCCGUGUGUGUCUUGGCGUUGGGCGUGACGUGCAGCAACGGUGGAAGCUUGAUGCAACGGGAAGCUUGAUGCACAGCACAGCACAGCACAGCACAGCGGAGAGAUUGGUGGUGAGUUGACGAUCCAAAGGCCUGACUCCACAGCGGUAAUGAGCCUUGUGUACCUUGCACUGUCUUCACUGACAACGCCCACUACUAACCCCUCUGCCUCCGCCACCGUUUCAAGAUCAGGAAGGACUCUGCCUUGCAUCGCGCACUGUGAUGGU